CCCCCCCCCCCACUGCCCAUCACCUGGUUGUGUUCAACUUGAAAUAGCAAAAUAAACCCCAACAUUUAUUUAACUCUUACACACUUUCUGGAGAAAAUGUUUUUCUUAUGUGUCACAUUCCUAUGUUGGUAAAACUGUCUAUGUGUCAGUGAUUCAAGAGCUUAAAUAUAAGAUAAUUAUCCAAAAAACAGAGAGUGCGGAGAAUUUUAAGUGAAAGCCACUCUAUAACGCUGUACUGCAGAGAUCAGCUAACAACACAAACCGCAGCCUGAACACAGGACCUUCCUGGGCAAGGCUGAUCAGCUCAGUCUCACACUAGGUAAUACAUUCACCAACUUGAGUCAACCAGGGAACCUCAGUGCUGGACAAGCUAAAAAUAAAACACUCUCUCUCACACCACUAGCCAGGGUUACGAGGGAUUCAGGCGACAGAUGAGAUCUGAAUUAUUGAAACCUAUGGCAGAAAUCAUCUCAGAUCCA